UACGUAGGUGGCAAGCGUUGUCCGGAAUUAUUGGGCGUAAAGCGCGCGCAGGUGGUUUCUUAAGUCUGAUGUGAAAGCCCACGGCUCAACCGUGGAGGGUCAUUGGAAACUGGGGAACUUGAGUGCAGGAAAGAAGAGUGGAAUUCCACGUGUAGCGGUGAAAUGCGUAGAGAUGUGGAGGAACACCAGUGGCGAAGGCGGCCAACUGGACGAAUACUGACGCUGAGACACGAAAGCGUGGGGAGCAAACAGG
rnacentral:rRNA from 1 species